GAUGAACGCUGGCGGCGUGCUUAACACAUGCAAGUCGAGCGAAGCGGCUGAAUUGAUUCUUCGGAUGAUUUUCAGUUGACUGAGCGGCGGACGGGUGAGUAACGCGUGGGUGACCUGCCCCAUACCGGGGGAUAACAGCUGGAAACGGCUGCUAAUACCGCAUAAGCGCACAGAGCUGCAUGGCUCGGUGUGAAAAACUCCGGUGGUAUGGGAUGGGCCCGCGUCUGAUUAGGCAGUUGGCGGGGUAACGGCCCACCAAACCGACGAUCAGUAGCCGGCCUGAGAGGGCGACCGGCCACAUUGGGACUGAGACACGGCCCAAACUCCUACGGGAGGCAGCAGUGGGGAAUAUUGCACAAUGGGGGAAACCCUGAUGCAGCGACGCCGCGUGAGCGAAGAAGUAUUUCGGUAUGUAAAGCUCUAUCAGCAGGGAAGAUAAUGACGGUACCUGACUAAGAAGCCCCGGCUAACUACGUGCCAGCAGCCGCGGUAAUACGUAGGGGGCAAGCGUUAUCCGGAUUUACUGGGUGUAAAGGGAGCGUAGACGGCAAGGCAAGUCUGAUGUGAAAACCCAGGGCUUAACCCUGGGACUGCAUUGGAAACUGUCUGGCUCGAGUGCCGGAGAGGUAAGCGGAAUUCCUAGUGUAGCGGUGAAAUGCGUAGAUAUUAGGAAGAACACCAGUGGCGAAGGCGGCUUACUGGAC
rnacentral:rRNA from 1 species